AUUGAACGCUGGCGGCAGGCCUAACACAUGCAAGUCGAACGGUAACAGGAAACAGCUUGCUGUUUCGCUGACGAGUGGCGGACGGGUGAGUAAUGUCUGGGAAACUGCCUGAUGGAGGGGGAUAACUACUGGAAACGGUAGCUAAUACCGCAUAACGUCGCAAGACCAAAGAGGGGGACCCUCGGGCCUCUUGCCAUCGGAUGUGCCCAGAUGGGAUUAGCUUGUUGGUGGGGUAACGGCUCACCAAGGCGACGAUCCCUAGCUGGUCUGAGAGGAUGACCAGCCACACUGGAACUGAGACACGGUCCAGACUCCUACGGGAGGCGGCAGUGGGGAAUAUUGCACAAUGGGCGCAAGCCUGAUGCAGCCAUGCCGCGUGUAUGAAGAAGGCCUUCGGGUUGUAAAGUACUUUCAGCGGGGAGGAAGGGAGUAAAGUUAAUACCUUUGCUCAUUGACGUUACCCGCAGAAGAAGCACCGGCUAACUCCGUG
rnacentral:rRNA from 1 species